GUCCCUGUAGUUUAAUGGAUAGAACACGGGCCUCCGAAGCUCGAAAUGUGAGUUCGAUUCUCGCCAGGGACA
rnacentral:tRNA from 1 species